AGCAGUCGCCGCGGGAAUACGUAGGUCCCGAGCGUUGUCCGGAUUUAUUGGGCGUAAAGCGAGCGCAGGCGGUUAGAUAAGUCUGAAGUUAAAGGCUGUGGCUUAACCAUAGUACGCUUUGGAAACUGUUUAACUUGAGUGCAAGAGGGGAGAGUGGAAUUCCAUGUGUAGCGGUGAAAUGCGUAGAUAUAUGGAGGAACACCGGUGGCGAAAGCGGCUCUCUGGCUUGUAACUGACGCUGAGGCUCGAAAGCGUGGGGAGCGAACAGGAUUAGAUACCCCAGUAGUCCCUGUCUCUUAUACC
rnacentral:rRNA from 1 species